UGUUAGCGGCGGACGGGUGAGUAACACGUGGAUAACCUACCUAUAAGACUGGGAUAACUUCGGGAAACCGGAGCUAAUACCGGAUAAUAUUUUGAACCGCAUGGUUCAAAAGUGAAAGACGGUCUUGCUGUCACUUAUAGAUGGAUCCGCGCUGCAUUAGCUAGUUGGUAAGGUAACGGCUUACCAAGGCAACGAUGCAUAGCCGACCUGAGAGGGUGAUCGGCCACACUGGAACUGAGACACGGUCCAGACUCCUACGGGAGGCAGCAGUAGGGAAUCUUCCGCAAUGGGCGAAAGCCUGACGGAGCAACGCCGCGUGAGUGAUGAAGGUCUUCGGAUCGUAAAACUCUGUUAUUAGGGAAGAACAUAUGUGUAAGUAACUGUGCACAUCUUGACGGUACCUAAUCAGAAAGCCACGGCUAACUACGUGCCAGCAGCCGCGGUAAUACGUAGGUGGCAAGCGUUAUCCGGAAUUAUUGGGCGUAAAGCGCGCGUAGGCGGUUUUUUAAGUCUGAUGUGAAAGCCCACGGCUCAACCGUGGAGGGUCAUUGGAAACUGGAAAACUUGAGUGCAGAAGAGGAAAGUGGAAUUCCAUGUGUAGCGGUGAAAUGCGCAGAGAUAUGGAGGAACACCAGUGGCGAAGGCGACUUUCUGGUCUGUAACUGACGCUGAUGUGCGAAAGCGUGGGGAUCAAACAGGAUUAGAUACCCUGGUAGUCCACGCCGUAAACGAUGAGUGCUAAGUGUUAGGGGGUUUCCGCCCCUUAGUGCUGCAGCUAACGCAUUAAGCACUCCGCCUGGGGAGUACGA
rnacentral:rRNA from 1 species